UACGUAGGGUGCAAGCGUUGUUCGGAAUUACUGGGCGUAAAGGGCGCGCAGGCGGCCUGCCAAGUCAGAUGUGAAAUGCCAUGGCUUAACCAUGGACGUGCAUUUGAAACUGGUGGGCUUGAGUACCAGAGGGGAAGGUGGAAUUCCCGGUGUAGAGGUGAAAUUCGUAGAAAUCAGGAGGAAUACCAGUGGCGAAGGCGGCUUUCUGGACUGACCCUGACGCUGAGGUGCGAAAGCGUGGGUAGCAAACAGGAUUAGAUACCCUGGUA
rnacentral:rRNA from 1 species